GAUAUAUAAAAAGGUGACAAAACAAACAAUACCCUCCAGCUUUAAAUGUGCUUGCCUUAGGAGCAGCUGAUGUUUUGUUGUGCAUAUGAAUUAUUCAUGCUUUAAAAGUAUGCAGUUGUAGCCAUAUGUAUGCACACAAGCAUAAACACACACAUUCAAACACACAGACACACACAUACAGACAUGUACAUAAUAAAAUGUAAUGACUCUCUUAAGGCUCUCUCGACUGUCAGCACUUUGACUCUUUGUGUCUCGCCGUGCUCCAAAGUGAUCACUCUGCACGGACACGAUGGCGGCGACGUGUCGCAUGAUGGCUGUGUCGCCAAAUCUCUUAAAUGAGUCGACGCUGCCUGAGAGUAAACAGACCGGCGAUGCCCAAGUUGGAAAGUAAACAUCAAAGCCGCGUGCUGAGGACAGGCUUUUCACAGGCCGGGAUUGUUUAGGUGCUGUACACUACUCCUGCAGUGUUCGAUCUACACCUUGACCUGCCCACCAGGCUAGCACUGUUACAUCACUGAGCUGAGUUUCAAAGGCAGCGGUUUCAAAUGCUGUUGAAACACUGUACAGAAAUAGACCAGGUCGAUACGCUGUGUCCAUCCAAUACACUUGCACAAGACACACAUAAAAGAGACAGAUGAAUAAAUGAAAAAGCCUGCUGUGUCGUCUCGGCCUCGUCUCAAGGGGCUGCACCUUAAGACUGGGGCUCCUCAGCCUGCAGGAUGUGACCAGGGAGACAGAGGGAUAAAGAGAGAGAGAGAGAGAGAGAGAGAGAGAGAGAGAGAGAGACAGAACACGAUGGAAUGAAAUCUGGGGAUGAACGCGCUGAGGGACUCAUGAUGCCCGUAUGCCAGCGGCAGCCUAUUUCUGCCAGUGUCGCGUCCACUGCCACCGCCGCCCCGUAGCCCUGAGUGAUGUAAGAUGGACUCCAUCCCUGGUGACCCAGGUUAACCAGAGUGCUUAUCUUAUCUUAUGCUUUUUUUCUCUCUUUCUCUCUGAGAUGAGCCUCCUCUGGCUGCCGGCCAGUCCUCUCGCCACCUUGGC